CCACCGGCGCUGCGGCUCGGGGGUGCGGGCCGGCCGGGGACGGCGGAGGAGGCGCCGCCUGAGCUCCGGGAGGCGCUGCCGAAGGGCGGCGGAGGGCCGUGGGGGUCGUGCACGCGCCGAGGUCCCGGCGGGCCUUCCGCUCUGACAGCCCAGCGUCCAGGAUGCCCCACAAGAUUGGCUUCGUUGUGGUCAGCUCCUCUGGACAUGAAGAUGGCUUCAGUGCCCGGGAACUAAUGAUCCACGCACCAACUGUCAGCGGGUGGAGGUCACCGAGAUUUUGCCAGUUUCCACAAGAAAUUGUUCUUCAGAUGGUGGAGAGGUGUCGAAUCAGGAAACUGCAACUGCUUGCCCACCAGUACAUGAUCCCCAGUAAAGUGGAGUUCUACAUCAGUGAGAGCCUGCCCGAGUACUUCGUGCCCUACCAGGCUGAGCGCUUUCGAAGACUUGGCUAUGUUUCUCUCUGUGACAACGAGAAGACAGGCUGUAAAGCCCGGGAGCUGAAGUCAGUGUACGUGGAUGCAGUAGGACAGUUUCUUAAGCUGAUUUUUCAUGAGAACCAUGUCAACAAGUACAACAUAUACAAUCAGGUUGCUCUGGUUGCAGUAAAUAUCAUUGGAGACCCUGCAGAUUUCGGUGAUGAAAGCCAUAUUACCUCUAGAGAGAAACUGAUUGAUCAUUACCUGGGCCAGCACAGCAGUGAGGACCCAGCUCUGGAAGGAACCUGUACUGGGAAAUCUGACUACAUUUCUCCACUGGAUGACUUAGCUUUUGAUAUGUACCAAGAUCCAGAAGUUGCCCAGAUUAUACGCAAAUUAGAUGAAAGAAAACGUGAAGCUGUCCAAAAGGAACGUUACGACUAUGCCAAGAAGUUAAAACAAGCUAUUGCUGAUUUGCAAAAGGUUGGCGAGCGCCUUGGGAGGUAUGAGGUGGAAAAGCGCUGUGCGGUUGAGAAGGAGGACUAUGACCUGGCCAAGGAGAAGAAGCAGCAGAUGGAGCAGUUUCGCAACCAAGUGUAUGAGCAGCUGCAGCUGCACAGCCUCGUGGAUGCUGAGCCGAUGCGAAGGCCUUCUGACCUGCCCCUCCAGCCCCUCACUCACUCUGCCAGUCCUCGCCACAAACAGCAAGUGCCAUCUCUACCACCGCAAGAAGAAAGUGCACCAGAAAGCCGGUUUGCAGAGCCUUUCCUUCAGGAAAAGCCUCCAGCACAUCCCCCAGGCCCUUCUCAGCACUCCACAGCAGACCAGUCACCACCUGCCACAGACCCUCAUCUCAAGACCCAUCUCCAGUCUGUGCCCUAUGAUGAGCGGCCCCUUCCUGCUACACGGAAGCAGCCGGCGGCAGCAGCCCUGGAACCAGAAAAGAGUGACUCUGAUGUCAGCGAGGCUCCCAAAAGAGGUGCCGCUGGAGAGCCUGAGCCCUUAACAGAGAAGGCACUGAGAGAGGCCAGCCCUGCCGUGGACGUGCUUGGAGAAAGCCUGGUUGCGGGGGCCUAUUCCAAGACCUGGUCAUACCGGGAAGAUGCGCUGCUCGCCCUGUAUAAGCAGCUGAUGGAGACACCUGCUGGAACUCCGAAGGAAGAGCUGAAGAGCAUGCUGCGAGCAUCUAUCUUCCUUGUUAGAAGAGCCAUUAGAGACAUAGUGACCCCGGUUUUUCAGGCUUCUUUGAAAUUGUUGAAAAUGAUAAUUACACAAUAUAUUCCCAAACACAAACUGAGUAAGCUUGAAACUGCUCACUGUGUGGAAAGAACCAUACCUGUUCUGCUCACCAGGACUGGAGACUCUUCUGCUCGCCUCCGAGUCAUAGCUUCAAAUUUUAUUCAGGAAAUGGCCUUGUUCAAGGAAGUUAGGUCUCUCCAAAUUAUUCCAUCCUACUUGGUACAGCCAUUAAAAGCCAACUGUUCGACUCAUCUGGCAAUGAGUCAGAUGAGUCUCCUGGCCCGGCUUCUGAAAGACCUGGGCACGGGGACCACAGGCUUCACCAUUGAUAACGUGAUGAAGUUUUCAGUGAGUGCCCUGGAGCACAGAGUGUAUGAGGUUCGAGAGACAGCGGUUAGAGUUAUUUUGGACAUGUAUAAACAGCACCGGGCUUUUAUUCUAGAGUACCUCCCUCCAGACGACAGCACCACGCGCAAGAAUGUUCUCUAUAAAACAAUUUUUGAGGGAUUUGCUAAAAUAGAUGGCAGACCUACAGAUGCUGAAAUUAGGGCACAGAAGAAAGCAGCUACAGAAGAAGCAGAAAAACGAAAGAAAGACGAAAUUAAAGCUUUGCAAGGGCAGUUGGCUGCACUCAAGGACAUUCAGGCCGAAGCCCAGGGAAAAGAAGGCCCCUCAAUGGAGGUGGAGAGUCAAGACACACAAGGAGGGAAAGCAGCCCCACCUCCGGCUCCAGAAAUCCCAGAUAAUCACUAUUUAGAUAAUUUGUGUAUUUUCUGUGGGGAAAGGAGUGAGUCAUUCACGGAGGAGGGCCUGGACCUGCAUUACUGGAAGCAUUGUCUUAUGCUGACGAGGUGCACCCACUGCAAGCAGGUGGUGGAGAUCUCCAGCCUGACGGAGCACCUGCUGACAGAAUGCGACAAGAAAGAUGGGUUUGGGAAGUGCUACCGCUGCAGUGAGGCCAUUCUGAAGGAAGAGCUGCCCAGACACAUAAAAACAAAGGAGUGUAAUCCUGCCAAACCAGAGAAGCUGGCAAACCGAUGCCCUCUGUGCCAUGAGAACUUCUCACCUGGAGAAGAGGCGUGGAAAGUUCAUCUUAUGGGCCCAGCUGGCUGCACGAUGAACCUGCGUAAGACCCACGUGCUGCACAAGGUGCCUGCUCCACUGCCAGCAGGUAGAGGCACAGCCGUGACCAAAACAGGGACCUCAGGAUCAAAGAUCGGAAGCAAGAUCCCGACCCCAAAGGGACUGAACAAAAGCUCUGGCAGGACGUACACAAAGCGGUGACAUGACACACGUUCUGUCUCCCUUAAUCCCACAAGGGACUGAGCACGUUUCCUGACUGUGAAUCAUUUCUCCUAAAAUCCGUCCUUGGACAAGGUGACCCUGUCUACCGCCCCCCACUGUCCCUUGGCCCCCUUCGUCCUUACCUGCCACGCCCUGGAAGCUGACCAAAGAGCCUGCGUCCUGGGGUUAGGACCAGACCCACCACAGUUACACGCAGCCAGGCCUCUGCCCUCCUAGCCAGUGUGAACAGAAGAGCCAGCAGUCGCUGUGUUUGAAGGGGACUGACACUGUCGCCCGGGCAGGUCAGCAGGCUGAGGGCGUAGUGCGAGCACAGUGCCCUCUUCUCAAGCACUUGCAGUGAUCCCCACGAAGGUUUGCUGUGACCUUUGCAUGUCCGGCUCCCACGUGUUGCAGAGUCCCUGCCGGGCCUCAGCUCCCCGGGCAGCGGUGACCAGCAGAAGAGAGACUGCACACACGAGCCUCACCGGGGGCCUUCUCUGCCCAGCACAUCUCCUCGCCCGUCUCUGCGGAGCCCGUGCCCCCCCACCGUCACAGGCCGCUGAGCAUGGGUCCCGCUGCGGCACUUUCCCAGCUGGAGGCCCAUGAGGAGUGCUGGGCCCAGCAGCCCCCUCUUGCAGCAGCCCCCCAGUGGAGCGGAGGUCGACGCUGCUGUCAGUCAAGUCAGAGCUGUCCUCAGGGUGCUCACGUCCCUCCCAUGUGUGCCAUCCCCAACAGAAUUAUGAAGUGACUGUCAGUCACCUGAUUGUCCUGGGCUCGGGUCGGUCGGAACAACCCUUUCUUAAACCCUUGAGGCAAACAUGGCAUUAUACUUGACUCUGGCGUGGGGUAGCUUCUACAUUCUGUAACAUCCCCAAGUGAGCAUCCAGCACAGACCAGCAGGCUCCAAGCAGCUGCCCUGGGCCUACCGUGCUCCCCCCCACAUGUCCACACCUGGAUUGCGACUGUAUGUUCACUCUCAGACACGUCCUGUGACACUUAAAACACUUAAAACAGCCAACAUCGCUCAAAAUGAAGAAGCCAGACCUGGAAAUCCAGCCCCCUGACCAGCUCCUGACCAGCCAUCGUGUCUGGGAAGUGGUUCCACAUGCUUCAUAUGCAGGUGGUUGUGGGGAAGAGCCAGUGUGUGUGUGAGCUCUGCUAGGAAGGCCCCAGCGUCUCCUCUGGGACCCGCUGCAGCAGCCAGCCCUUCCUGUCCCCCCACACGGCCCAGGCAUGCUUCUCCUGUCCUGAGUACCAGGCAGGCUUUCCGAACACCAGUGAGAAGUGGUAGAGUGGGUCAGAUGUGUACUACAUCGUGUGGUGUGUGCGCGCACCGCAGAGCAUGGGACCAAAGGGUGCAUGUUCCAAGGGCAUGCGCUCCACUCACCCCUGCAGAGGUGCAAGAGGAGGAGAGAGCCCUUCUGUGUGCGGCUGGAAUGAGAUGUUCCUCUGUGCCAUUGCCUGUUUGCUCUUAGAAACCGGGUCCAUUCUGCAGAGAAGCUGAGCGCUGUUGUGGUGUGUGCCCAGAGCCUUCCUGGCUCUCACCACCCCUGGCCAGCCUCUGCCUACCCUCCCCAUCAAGGAAGUCCUGGGCUGCCAGCUGAACACCCUGGCUCUGGAACACAGGCUGCAGGAGAGACUAAUCUGUGAUUAGGGUGGUGACCCUCUGAGCUGCUCCUUGUGGGACAGAGGCGGGGAAAUCCCCUGGGGAUCUUCUGGACUCCUCACAGAAUCCUCACAAGGACCACGGGAUGGGGAUGGGGCAGAGGGGCAGUUGAAGUCCUCCUCAAUGGCAGACAGGGAUGCUGGCUCCCUAGAAGGCAGUGGGCCCAGGUGAGAACACUGGAUCCUCACAGACCUGCCUUGGUUUCCCCUCUAUGGAGUGAAGCCAAGGAGAAGGUGCUGAUGAGGCCCAGCCUGGCCUGUGGGUCUGCAAUUUGGGGGAGGGAGCCCGCCCCUAAGCUGAGGGCCACCCCCAGCCCUUCAUCCCUCACUAAGUUGUGCCUGCAAGGGGUAGGGGAGCAAGGAGACAGGCAUGAACCAGAAGGCCUCAAGACUCCACCAAGCUUCUCAGGCCCCAGGCCCCCUAACCAGAACCCACUAGUGCGGGUAUCACGGGAGGGGCGGGGAGAGUCAGGGGGGUUAAGUCAGAUGCUCCAUUGGGUAGAUUCCCCUGUGCACAAGAGGUCAUCAAGCAAAACGCUCUUUUGUGGCCCUGGGCCUGCAGCUUGAGGACUCCCUGGGAGAGGCAUCUCUGGCACCUCUGUGUCCUGGGACUGUCCAGGAGAGGGAGGGUGCAGUGUCCUGCCUAAAGGGGUGGGGGUGUUGCAGGGAUCCCCAUGGGGUAUGGAAUAACUUGGGAGUGCUGUCUCCCAGAUGCCAGGAUCCCAGCCUGGGGUGGGAGAGGCAGGAGGCCAAGCCUGCAGGUGUCCAGGCUCUAAGCUUCACCUGGUGGCCAGGCCAGGAGCAGGGCCGGGAACAGAAAGCAAUCACUACUUAGGUUCUUCCAAUUCAAAGGUUUAACCUACCCAGACCUAUUUUGUAUUUUCUGCUUCUGAAUGAGAUGGAGAUUUAUGAAAUGAGACACAAACACAACAGCUAAACAAUCGAUCAUCUGACUCUCUAACAACCUGAGUCUGUGUCAAAAGGCGUGUCAGGACACCUCACAGAAACAGAAAACCAGAAGGACACAUUUACAACAGGCCACCCACAGAGAGUCGGCACCGGAAGACCCAGAGAGUUCCUGUACAUCGCCAGAAAAGCACUGCGCUGGCCUCCAGCCUCGCUUUGAGUGUCAGGGACCUGCUGUUGCUGGGACAGGUUGUGCACCCUCCCUCAUGAUCCUGCAGAUCACACAUCUCCCGUGGUCCCUCGGGUCUACGAUCGGGGCUCAGCUGGAUGUGUCCCUCCAUGGGGGCUCCAGGGAGGAUCCACUCCUCACCACCCCGCUUCCAGAGGCACCUGCUUACUCCAGCACAGGGCCCCUCUUCUGCACCGGGGCUGCUCAGCCACCAGCCCCCUGGCUCCCCAUCUCGGCCUUGCUCUUCUACUUGUACCCUGUGGCCACCUUGGGCCCCCUCCCCAUCUUCAGGUCACCCAUCAUCACCCAUCUUUCCCCUAGGCCAUAAAACUUAACACUUGCACAGGUUCUGGGGAUUAGAGCCUGGACUUCUCUGGGGGUCAUAAUUGUGCCCACUGUUUGGAUAAGGACACCAUACGCCUAAUGUCUGCAUCACUUUUCACCUGAAGGGUAUGUGGAAAACAUUUAACAAAGAUUAGGAAUGGCAAUAUCAGGAAAAAAAAAAAAAAAAAAA